rnacentral:rRNA from 1 species
UACGGGGGGAGCAAGCGUUGUUCGGAUUUACUGGGCGUAAAGGGCGCGUAGGCGGCCACCGCAAGUCGACUGUGAAAUCUCCGGGCUUAACCCGGAAAGGUCAGCCGAUACUGCGGGGCUAGAGUGCAGAAGGGGCAACUGGAAUUCUGCGGUGUAGCGGAUGAAUGCGUAGAUAUCGAGAGACACCUGCGGCGAAGGCGGGUUGCUGGGCUGACACUGACGCUGAUGCGCGAAAGCCAGGGGAGCGAACGGG